ACUAAUGAAGUUUUGGAAAGGUAUAAAAAUUUCAAGAAGUUUGACUCUGUUGUUGACCACUCGGAUCACUUCUUUUCAGCGCGUAAUUAUUCUAUGUACCAGCCACCAAAAGACUGGGUCAACGCAAUAAAGGAAGAGUGGAGGAUUCUUGAGGAACAGUUGCCCGAGACCAUUUUUGUGAGGGUUUAUCAAUCAAGGAAAGAUCUUUUAAGAGCUGUAAUUAUCGGGCCAAAGGGGA